CGACUCUAGGCUUGCUGGAGGCACCGGGGGCGCUAUGCGGAAGGACUCCUCCCCUCCCCGGCUCUGAGCUAGGGUGUUGUUACCAGAGCCGGGGAGGAGGGGCGACGAGGACACCUCUGCGAGAGCACCGGCUGAGGGGCCAACGGUCAGCAGGAGCCGGACACGCACACGUCCUCGCCGCUUCCCUCAGGGACUGGAAGCAGGCGCGGGUGGGGCGGGGAGUGGAGGGACGGUGCGCGUCCGGAGGCCAUUGCGCAUGCGCGCGGCGGCCCGUGCGCCUUUGCGAGAGGCUAGACUUGGGACCGCCGGACCCCCGGCGACGCCGGGCGCGCUUCUCCCAGCGCUGAGCGGGAGGGAGCGCGCCCCUUGCGCUUUGACAGGUGCUUUGACGUGGGAACCUUGAGGUGUUUUCCUUACCCGCUCUUAAAACUGUAAAGCCGGCAGCCUGGAAAGACCGCUAAAGCUCAUCUCGACCAACCACCUCGUUUUUAAUUUGUGGGGCGACUGAGAAGACGGGAAGUGACGGAGGUGCAGCGCGGAGGGGUCCCAGCUGGAGCCUAUGCUGUAUGUCCUUAGGAUUCAAGCAUUGCUGGAGGACUGGUGGAGCAGGACUUCAGGACUCUAUUUAUAUGUAGCUCCUGGAGUAUCUUAGGAAAGAAGCCAUCCUAAGAGAGAGCUGAGUCCCCAAGCCUGGUUCAAGGAUGUGAGCCACUGUCAGAAAGGAGAAGAAAUGGUGAAAGCAUCAUGGUCUCUGUCAUUUAGAUCAGCCUCCAGCUCAGCCUUCAUGGAUUCCUGCCUCUGUCAUAAGGAAUAAUCCACUACUGAGGACCCAAUGCCCCACAAAGUGAACCUUGGCCUCCCACAGAAGAACACUUUAAGGAGCUACCAACUCACCUUUGCUCUAGUGCAGUACCCAUAUUAUGGGUGGUAAGAGUCCUGAAUCAGUCUUUUGCCAACGACAGAUGGGUCGACUACAACAAAUGGACAGUUUGCACAUGAGACUUAAUGUACAACUCCUUGUUUGUUUUUCUUUGACAGUGGAAGGACAUUGGACCUGACAUACAGAAGUCUCUCAGUAAAGAUUUGCUGUUUUUGAAAUUCCAUGGACACUGAAAGGCCUAGAAGCAUUAAAACCCCAUGGACAAUGGGCAACCUCUAGUGCCCAGACUGUGGUCCCUGAAUGACAUUCGGCAUUUAAAGGAACCAGGAUCUUCCAUGGCUGAUUCCAAGUUUGGGGCAGUAUAUGUACAAGAUAAGGUUUACACAUCUUGAGGAGCCCAAAACUAUGAAGUUACCAAAGAUCGGUGGGUUUUAUCAAAAGGACUCAAGAGCCAACAUGAAGGGGCUCCAAAUGGUCAAAGAUGGGAUAAUUCAAGUAGCUGUCCAGUUUUCCCAGCACCACUUAUUGAAGAGGCUGACUUUUCUCCAUUGUAUAUUCUUGCCUCCUUUAUCAAAGAGUGAAAAAAAUGGAUGACACCAAUGUAUCUCACAUGGAGGGAACUGUCUUUGUGAAAACUCUUUGAAAUGCCCUGCAGACACAGAUGUCAGCAGAUGCCCAGCUCAGACAAGGGGAAGCUGUUUUGCAUGAAACAAAGAGAGGAAUAUGGUUUAUUGCUUGUGAAAAGGAGGGGGAAGAAAGAAGGUAUUGGUCAACACUCUUGCAAUUGCAAAUGACAGAAAUUUAACUCAAUGUGGCUUAAGGGAAAACCCAGAUAUCUAGUUAGACAUGGUUGGAUUCAGGAAGUCAAACUUUGUCAUCCAUAUUUGCGUUUUCUCUCCAUCUCUUGAUUCUGUUUUCCUUUGUCUUGAUUCACUCUCAAGCAGGCUCUUCACUUGUGCUGGCAAAGAUGGGCACUAGAAAUGCUAGGCUGACCUUUCUACCAGCUCAGUGACCCCAGGGGUAAGAGUCCUUCACUCACCAAGAGUUCCCUCAAGCCUAUCCCUGAAUAGCAGUCUGGCCGGGGAGAUGGAAUGUACCGAUUAUCUGGGUUUCGUCACUUGUUUGGAUCACUGGAAUAGGAUGGGGUCAGCCCUGCUCAAGUCAUUUAGAAGUUCCAAAAAUAAUUUGCAGAGUUCCUGGCAUGGAGCUUCUAGAACUCUUGGAAUUUCCUGAGUGACUAAAGUGUCUUUAUUAUUCAUGAGUCCCUUGGAUCACUCCUGAGUUUAUGCUAAUGAGGGGACUCAUGGUGGGACCCUGCAUAGCUUCAAGAUGGAGACUGGUCACCAGAAAGACCAACCACUGAUUAGAAGGUUGGGACUUUGAGCCAGCCCAACCUCCAGGGAGGGAAGAAGGAUUGGAGAUUGAGUUCAAGCGCAUGGUCCAUGAUUUAAUCAAUGAAACUCCAAUAAACCUUUGGACAGCAAAGCUCAGUGGAGGUUCCUUGUUGGUGAACUCAUGUUGGGAAGAUGAGGUGCCCUCAUCCCAUGGGGAGAGGGCACAGAAGCUCUGUGUUCAGGACCCUUCCAGACCUUGCCCUAUGUGUCUCUUCAUUUGGCUGGUCUGAUUUGUAUCCUUUAAAACUCUAAUUGUAAGUAUAGUGCUAUCCUCAGUUUUGUGUCAUUCUGCUGAAUUAUAGAACUUGAGGGGGGUUGGAGGAACCCUCUGGAUUUGUAGCCAGUUGGUUGGAAGUAUGGGUGGCCUGGGCCCGCACUUGCUCCUGGUGUCUGGAGUGGGGGCAGUCUUGUUGGGUCCUGUGCCCUUACAGCUGUGGAGUCUGACAAUAACUCUGGUUGCUUAGUGUCAGAAUUGAAAUUGCAGCACAAUAGAUGAUGUCAGAAUAGUUGGGGUUGAAACAGAAUAGGACUGAGUCUGGAUCCAUGCACUGCAGAACAGUGGAAGAGGUGUGGAGCCAGGAGCCUAGAGGCCAGGUGGUUAUGAUAACAGAAGAUCACUGGGAAGAAACUGAAAUCUUGAAGAGGGCUUUGGAUUUUCACAAGAUAGGGAGUUGGAGAGAAGAGGAGUUUAAGCCAAUUUUAUCUCAACCUUUCAGAAGAGGAGGGUCCCCAGCUGAACUGAGUUACAUACAUUCAUCUUUGCUAUAAGAAUAUGUGUUCACAGGUUUUCACUUUUAUGCAGUGAUUACAGCUACUUUUUCCAAGUGAACAAACUUCUUUCACUCACUUACGGUCAGACUCACUUAUCUUACACAUGUGCAUUCAAAGGCCUUCCAGUCACUCUCAGAGCCAGGUGUAGAAGCAGAGAAUGGAAGUGCUGGCUGAUGCAGGAUAGUGGAUUUGUAAGGCGAGUGCAAGAAAAAGUCAAGAGGGCAAAAUACAUCAACGAGGAUGUGUCUGUUCUGUCUGUAAAAGCCCCAAAUGCCAGAAAGUUCAGUGGUGUGUGUGUGUGUGUGGUGGCAGCACAUAUCAACUCAAUGUUUUAGGGAGCAGGGUGAACUCAGGACCAUAUCAGCUCACAUAAAUUAACAUUCCCACUUCUGGCUGGUUUGAUGAAUACUUCUGGUUCAUAAGUCAAUGUGUGAGUUUUCCCAUAGAGCAGGCCCUCCACAAAAACCUAAUUGUAUUUUCCUCACGAAUAAUCACUGAGAAUGGUUGAGUCUUAUUCCCUUUGUCUUUUGUUUUUAAACCAGGGUUAAUAAUAAAAUAAACUUGAGUUUAGUUUUAAUAAGCCAUCAUCACAAUCAGGAUCAUAAACAUAUCUGUCACCCCCAAAGCUUUUGGUGCCCUUUGUGAUCUCCCUCCCACUCUUUCUCCCAAACCCAGACAACAACUGAUCUCCUUUCUGUCACUAUAGAUUUGUUCACAUUUUCUAGAAUAUUUUAUCAAUGGAAUCAUAUGCUAUAUAUUCUUUUUUAAAUAUGUCUUCUUUCACUCAGCAUAAUUUGUUGAGAUUCAUAAAUUGUUCAUUCUUUUUUAUUGCUGAGUAGUAUUCCAUUGUAUGGAUAUACCUCAAUUUGUUUAUCCAUUCACUUGUUGAUGAACAUUGGUACAAUUUGAUAAGUUUUGAUGUACAUAUACACACGUGGAGCCAUUGCUCCAACCAAAAUACCCAUCACCACCAAAAGUUUAUCUCCAGUGUUUGGCUAUUACAAAUAAA